GGAUGAAAAAAAAAGUGUGGUUAAUUCUUGCUAGAUACUUCCUGCCGCUGACAUUUGGUGCUGCUGCUGUGUAAUGAGGUUGAAGCUGUGUAGAUGUCAGGAGCGAUGGGUCACCAGAGGCGGAAGAACCUAUGUCUCCGGGCUACAGCAAAGCUCCCAGCCCUAUGAAAAUCAUCUAGGCUGCUCUGAGCCACAUGCCUGGAGGUCACAGAGGCAUUCGGGAAAGUGAGAGGAAGUGGAAACGUGCUACAAGCGGGCUCAAAGUAAUGUGCUCACCACCGGAAAAAAAAAAUAAAAAUAAACACACUCAGAAAUAGUGUAACUGAUAUGCAAA